rnacentral:rRNA from 1 species
AGUAACGCGUAGGUAACCUGCCUUGUAGGCGGGGAUAACUAUUGGAAACGAUAGCUAAUACCGCAUAAACAAGUGGGUGACUCAUGUCAUUUAUUUGAAAGGGGCAAAUACUCCACUACAAGAUGGACCUGCGUUGUAUUAGCUAGUAGGUGAGGUAACGGCUCACCUAGGCGACGAUACAUAGCCGACCUGAGAGGGUGAUCGGCCACACUGGGACUGAGACACGGCCCAG